UACGUAGGGGGCUAGCGUUGUCCGGAAUCAUUGGGCGUAAAGCGCGCGUAGGCGGCCCGGUAAGUCCGCUCUGAAAGUCCAGGGCUCAACCCUGGAAAGCGGGUGGAUACUGCCGGGCUAGAAUCCGGAAGAGGCGAGUGGAAUUCCUGGUGUAGCGGUGGAAUGCGUAGAUAUCGGGAGGAACACCAGCGGCGAAGGCGGCGCUCUGGGCCGGAACUGACGCUGAGGAGCGAAAGCGUGGGUAGCAAACAGG
rnacentral:rRNA from 1 species